AUUUUUAUUUUUUCAAUAUUUGUUUUCUUUUUCUUUUUUUCCCAUUCAAUGUCCCCCUUUUGUUCGACUCUUUUUUAUGAAGACGAAGAUGAAG
rnacentral:ribozyme from 13 species